rnacentral:lncRNA from 10 species
GUGGCACCGAAGGCGAAGAAGGAAGCUCCUGUCCCUCCUAAAGUCAAAGCCAAAGCAAAGUCUUUAAAGGCCAAGAAGGCAGGGCUGAAAGGCAUCCACAACCACACACACACAAACACACACACACACACACACACACACACCCCUAAGACCUGCAUGUCACUUACCUCCAGCAGCUCAAGACACUGUGGCUCCAGAGGCAGCCCGAGUAUCCCGGGAAGAGUGCUCCCACAUGUUUGACCACUCUGCCAUCAUCAAGCCCUGACUACUGAUGUGCUAUGAAGAUAGAAGACAACCACACACUGGUGUUCACUGUGGAUGCCAGGGCCGGCAAGCACCAAAGAGGCUGUGAAGAGGCUCUCUGACACUGAUGUGGCCAAGGUUACACCCUGAGCAGGCCUGAUGGAGAGAAAGAGGCAUGCGCUCUGCUGGCCCCUGCCCACAAUGCUUUGCAUGUUGCCUACAAAACUGGGAUUAUU